rnacentral:rRNA from 1 species
UACGGAGGGUGCAAGCGUUAUCCGGAUUCACUGGGUUUAAAGGGUGCGUAGGUGGGCAGGUAAGUCAGUGGUGAAAUCUCCGGGCUUAACUCGGAAACUGCCAUUGAUACUAUCUUUCUUGAAUACCGUGGAGGUCAGCGGAAUAUGUCAUGUAGCGGUGAAGUGCUUAGAUAUGACAUAGAACACCAAUUGCGAAGGCAGCUGGCUACACGAAUAUUGACACUGAUGCACGAAAGCGUGGGGAUCAAACAGG